GUUGUACUCCCUCCGUCUGAAAAAGCUUGUCCCAAACUUGUCCCUCAAAUGGAUGCCUCAAAUGGAUGUAUAUCUAGCACUAACUUGGUGCUAGAUACACCCAUUUGAGGGACAAGCUUUUUCGGACGGAGGGAGUACUUC
rnacentral:pre_miRNA from 1 species